CUCUGUCUCAAAGAAAAAAAAAAAUUUUUUUUAAUUGUCUAUACAGAUGCUCCUCAGCUUACAAUGGGUUACAUCCAGAUAAAUCCAUCACGAGUUGAAAAUAUUGUUAAGGGCCAGGCGCAGUGGCUCAUGCCUGUAAUCCCAGCACUUUGGGAGGCCGAGGCGGGUGGAUCACGAGGUCAGGAGAUAGAGACCAUCCUGGCUAACACAGUGAAACCCCGUGUCUACUAAAAAUACAAAAAAUUAGCCGGGCGUGUUGGCAGGCUCCUGUAGUCCCAGCUACUCGGGAGGCUGAGGCAGGAGAAUGGCAUGAACCCAGGAGGCAGAGCUUGCAGUGAGCCGAGAUCGCGCCACUGCACUCCAGCCUGGGUGACAGAGCGAGACUCCGUCUCAAAAAAAAAAAAAAAAAAAAAAAAGAAAAUAUUGUUAAGGAGCAUACUGAAUGUGUAUAGCUUUUGCAACAUUGUAAAGUUGAAAAAUUAUAAGUUUAACCAUUGUAAGUCAGGGACCAUCUAUACAUAAAGAACUCCUAACACGCAGCAAUUAAAAAAAAAAUCCAAAAAUGGGCAAAGGACUUGAGUAAACAUUUGUCCAAAGAAUAUAUAAAAACAGCACACACAUGAAAAGAUGCUCAACAUCACUGAUUAUCAGGGAAAUGCAAAUCAAAACCACAAUGAGAUACCACCUCACACCCAUCAAGAUAGCUACUAUUUGAAAAUAAAACAAGUGUCGGGGAGGAUAUGGAGAAAUUGGAACAUUUGUGCACUGCCGGUGGGAAUGUGAAAUGGUGCAGCCAGUGCAGAAAACAGUAGGCAGUUCCUCAAAACACUAAACAUAAGCCUGGCACAGUGGCUAAUGCCUGUAAUCCUAGUGGUUUGGAAGGCUGAGACAGGAGGAUCACUUGAGCCCAGGAGUUUGAGACCAGCCUGGGCAACAUAGUGAGACUAUGUCUCAAAAAAAUGAAAGGAAAAUUAAAACUGAACACAGAAUUACUGUUUGAUCCAGCAAUUCCACUUCUGGGUACAGACACAAAAUAAUUGACAGCAGGGACGUGAACAGGUAUUUGUACACAAGUUUGUAGCAGCAUUAUCCCCAGUAGCCAAAAGAUGGAAACAACCCAAAUGUUCAUCACAGGACAAAUGAAUAAACAAAAUGUGGUCUAUACAUGCAAUAAAAUAGUAUUCAGCCUUAAAAAGAAAUAAAAUUCUGACAUGCUACAACACAAAUGAACCUUAAAGAUACUAUGACUGAGUGAAAUAAGCCAGACACAAAAAGACAAACACUGCAUGAUCUCACGUAUAUGAAAUCCCCAGAGGGCUGGGGAGCUACAUUCAUUCAUUUAUUCAAAAUAUAUUUAUUCUAAAUGCAACACAGUAUCCUGGAUUGUAUGUGUAUACUGGAAUAGAAAAAGAACAUCAGUGGGAAAACUGGUAAAAUCCAAAAAAUAAGCCAAUAAAGGAGAUAAAAUGAGACAAUCGGCAAUACUUAUUUAAUACAAAAAAAGGAAAGGAAAGGAGGAACAAAGAACAAAUGGAAUGUAUAGAAAAAGAGCAAGAUAGUACAUUUAAGCUCAACCAUAUCAAUAGUUGCAUUAAAUGUAAAUGGUCUAGACACCUUAAUUAAUGGGCAAUGAUUGUUAGACUUUUUUUUUUAAAUAACAACAAAAACCCUACAUGCUGUCAGCCCCUUCUGUAGCUCUUUCCCAGACUUGCUAGAAGCAAAAGGAUGAAAUAAUUAUCUGUUGUAUGAUAAAGUCAGCCUUUGAACAGACAUUCACUGGAAGUGACAUCUUCUGGGAAGGCAGGCCUAGCCCUUAUCCUGACAUGCCCCAGUAGCACUCUCAGCUCCUGGGACCUCGUCUACAACAUUGAGGCCCCCAGACCCAGAGACCUGCAGAGCCUUCAGUUACCCACACCUGCUGAAACAUGGGAGGUCUAAGUGCUCAAGUCACUUUUAUUAUCUUCCUCCCUUCCAGGCCGGCCUUGUGCUGGAAAGAGCAUGAUGUGGGCAUGUGAGAAACAAACUCACCCAUCCACACCCGAAGAAUGGACUCAGAGACCUCAGAGACCGGAGAACAGCAAAAAACUAUCCCUAAGAGGCCAGGUGUGGUGGCUCACACCUUAUAAUCCCAACGUUUUGGGAGGACAAGGCAGGAGGAUCACUUGAGGCCCGGAGUUCAAGACCGGCCUGAACAACAUAGCGAGACCCUAUCUCUACCAUAAAAAAGGUAAGAAAUGGCCCUAAGGCAAUCCUAUAUUGUCAGAGGGGGCCGUGCUGGGAGAAGCAGCCCAUGCUUCUCAGCCGGGCUGUCUGGGAGAUGCUGCGUCUGCCUGACCAUUUCCAUACCUUGGUUACUUUCAGCAAUGCUUUGCUCAAAGUUUGUGGAUAUUGGAAGGGCAUUGCUGUAUUUUUUGGUUUCUAAGAGUCACAUUAUUGAUAGAUCUGAAAUCCAGAUGCCUCUCACCCUCGGAACAUCAUUUACUGUGUCAUGUUUCGUGUAUUUCCCGAAAAGCGGUAUCAGUUUUGCGGCCUGUUAGAACUGAAGCAAUAAGGGAUCACCCAGAGGAGAGCUUCGGGCUGCUCCAGAUGUGGCUGUUCUUGGCUCCCACAGACCCAGAACAUCCUCGCCAGCCUGUGCUCCCUAUGGGGCACCCCCUCCAGUGGAAGUGAGGGCAGCCACGCACCCCUGGGAAUGCCUUAGAGAGGGGCCAAUUGCCAUCGCCAGGGGCCUGACUCUGCAACCAUCCACACCUACGGGGAGUCCAUUUGAGAGAUGAGGAAGCUGAAGCUCCAGGCCCCUGGCUCGUGCUGGUCACCCAACCACCCGGAACCUGGUCGCCAACCCGCUGUCAGUUGCUCGGCAGUGGACUCCUCUCCUGGCUCAGGGCGCGGUUCCGGCAGGCGUCCACCAGGUGGCAGCACCGGCACAUUCUGCAGGCUGUUCCGGCUCAGAGCUCGAUGUAGUGCUCUGGGGUAACCUGGGCCCCAGCCUGUCCCCUCCCGCCCCCUGCAGCCCCUCCUCCCACCGCCUGCAGCCCCUCCUCCCGCUCUGUCCAGCUUCGAACAGGCCACUCAGGCCUCCCAGCCUUACUUCCACCGUGGCCCAGGCCAUGACCUUGGCCCCAACUCUGGGCCCUGCCCUAUCUGUCCUUCCUGGUGGUCUGUCUCAUUCACUGCCCUACCCAGGGGAACAGCACCUGGGGCUGGGGGGCAGAUGGCCACGUGGUCCAAUGGUCUCCUUCAUGGCUGGGGUGAAGCUGGGUGGGGUCAAGGGAAGAAGAGGUGGAUCCCAACGGGGGCAGGGCCAGCCAGGGCCUCCCAUCUCCCCUCAGGCCAGGCCUCUGGAGAUGGGGGUGGAACACCUUCCAUGGGAGGCUGCCCCUGGGAACAGGCCUGUAUACUCCCGCCUCGGCCCACCACACAGCCUGUCCCCAAACCUGUUGGGGUGGCGGUGCCCACCAGGAGGAGCUGGGGAGGACCAGCUGCUCUGAGGAUGCUGCUUCCCUCCCAGGACUCCCCACUCCCUCCCUGGCCACCCACUCUUCCACCCAGCAAAGUGAGCCAAAAAUUUGAAAAGCAACUUUUAUUGAAGAAUUUGGAGGGAAGGUUCCAUAUUAUAUUAUAAUAGUAAAAAUA